GAGAGAGAGACAUGCGCGCAUAUCAAUAAGCGGAGGAAAAGAAACUAACUAGGAUUCCCCUAGUAACGGCGAGUGAAGCGGGAAGAGCUCAAAUUUGAGAUCUUAAAGGUUUCCCUUUGACGAAUUGUAGUUUAAAGAAGUGUUUUCUGUUGGAGUUUUCGGUAAAAGUUCUUUGGAAUAGGACAUCAUAGAGGGUGAGAAUCCCGUAUUUGACCAUUACUUUCCAACUUUGUGAUACACUUUCAAAGAGUCGGAUUGUUUGGGAAUGCAGUCCAAAAUGGGUGGUAAAUUUCAUCUAAAGCUAAAUAUUGGCGAGAGACCGAUAGCGAACAAGUACCGUGAGGGAAAGAUGAAAAGAACUUUGAAAAGAGAGUUAAAUAGUACGUGAAAUUGUCAAAAGGGAAGCGUUUGACACUAGUGUUGUUUUUCCGAAAAUCAAUUACGAAUGUUUUAUUUUUGAGGAGUUAUGACUUCAUCGGCUUGCUCCUUUCUUUAUGAAACUUUCUUAAUGCACUUUUCGGUUAACAAGUCAACAUCAAUUUCUUUUGUUGUAAAAGGGUAUGAGGAAGGUGGCUUUCUUUUCGGAGAAAGUGUUUAUAGCCUUGUGCCUCUGCAAUCGGAGAGAUUGAGGUCUGCAGCGUAGAUCCUUCGGGGUUAGAUACGUUUGUGCUAAGUUAUAGCUUUUCAUAGACAACUUGUUGACUAUGUUUAGUCUUGUAGCUUACUCGCUUAUGGCUAUUUUACCUACGCUUAGGAUGUUGAUAGUCACAGCGUGUAC
rnacentral:rRNA from 1 species